GAAACGCUCCACCCAGCAUUGUUCUGUUAAAACAGGAACAUAAUCAUAACCUGCAUAUUCAUAGAUACGCAGGGAUAUUCGAUUACGUACGCCAUUUUAUCGGGACAUGUAAACACUGAAUUGUAUUCGACUGUUUGUGUGCAGUAUGUCGGAAUUUGGUUUGUAUCAGGUACGACCAUCGACUUUACGUUUCACACACGACAGCGUUAGCUGUAGGUUCAGUAAUGGACUUUCAUUGGAAGAGACCUUCCGGCAGUUUCUAUACGAUGAGUUGGAUGUCGAUGAUAUGCCAUGUCUGGUAGCUAUGUACUACAACUGGAAAUGGUUGGUUGUGAGAGGUAACAGAAGACUUUAUUUAUAUAAAAAAUUGGAGAAGAUUGGAAAGGUAACCACAGUAGAAGUCGAUAAGCAGAUAUUCGAACAAAAUCUGUUUAAGCGCCAAUACACCUCGAAAAACAUGGGUGUUUCCAUUCGGAUUCGUGGAUUUCCGAACAUAGAAAAUGUUUUAAACCAAAUAACAAACGAAUGGAGAAACACCCAAGGUUUUCAAAUCAGCACUAAACCUGCCAGAAGACGAAGGCAUAGGUCAAAAUCGCGGCCCUGAUCCGAAAAUACCAAUGCAGUGACCGGGUACUCUGUACAAAGCAACACCGCUGGCACAGGAUCACAUACUUUGGGAGGGAACAGCAAUCACAUACAGAGACAAACUAACAGACCUCCAACACUUCAUGCAAACCAAAAAUACUCUGGGUCGUCAAUGGGAAAUGUUAACCAACCUACAUCAACUUCUUAUAAAACAACUCCUACACCAUCUGUAAACUGCAGCUACCCCGGUAUGUCGCAGACAAAUGUUCAAACACCAAGAUCCACUGGUCUUCAAGGAAACAACUCGCUCGCAGGAUCACAUACUUUAGGAGGAAAUAGCAACCGCGACUAUCUACCGUCAAGAUGCUCUUGUUAUAAAACAACAACAACACCGUCAGUAACCCAGAACCGUGCGUUGACGUGGAAGAUGUACGGCCCACCACCUAGAUCAAAUGAGUAUAAAGCUCCUACACCAUCAGUGAACCACAACUCCUCUUUGAUGUCCCAUCCAAACGAUCAUCAACCUAUAACUGAUAUUGUCAACUUUCCCCAACCAGAACUGCAACGGACCAAGAGAAAAGAUAACAACUGUGGAUGCUGCACCAUUCUCUGAUCUAGCAGAUAUACCGCUUGCCCUGAAGAAGCUGCAGGUGAAGUGUUACAGUUCAAUAAACACAAACAUGUAUGUGUAUGUGCGAUUGUAUCGGUUAUCAUUCCACUCGUAGCAUUCGAACACAUGACGUUUUGUUUGUAAGUCUUAUUUCCAGUUUUGAUCUCUUGACCAACAUGUUAUGCAUUAGUCAAAGCGGUUUAUUGUGUUUUUUCUAGGUCAUUGUGACUAAACAUAAUACACUUUAAUACCCUUCUGACGAGUGGUCAAAAUAUUUACUUAACAUCAACGUAUUACCUAUAUCCAGGAUGGUAGCAGUCAGGUGCUUCUGAUUACCUAAGACAAA